GCACUGCUGAGGAGUCCCACAACAGGACGGAACGGCCGUGCAGUGC
rfam:Schistosoma rodhaini strain Burundi genome assembly, scaffold: SROB_scaffold0022233